AUUCCCAAUGCAGCAAGGCUGCUGCAGCCACGAUGAUUAGGCUUUGGAGGAGGAAGUGAACGGAUGGGGCCUCAUCCUCCUGCCUCCCUAAAGGGUGAGGGUGGAAGGAUGGGGCUGUGCCCUCUUAGGGCAGGGAAAAACAGCUUGGAGGGGUUUCUGCCAUCAGAGAUCCCAUAGGAGGCAGAUGCUCGCUUCACCCCACUGAGAUGUAACUCAGUUUUGUGGGAUCCCACUGCCCUCCAGGUGCCGCUCCGAGUGCUCUACACAGAUUUUCAUUCAGUCCUUGCGGCACACGAAGGACAAGUCCCAGGUGGCCUUGGAAUGAACAAGCCCCUCCCUUCUCACGCGUACUUCUCGAGAAUACCUGAAGAAUGUGCCAGGAAUGCAACCACCUGGUCUAGGGAAGGACCGGCCGGACAGCCCUGGCUCUGCUCCUGUGCCUCCUAGGGCAGGAUGUCCCACACACUGUAGCCCUAUGAGUCACCCCUGGCUAUGGAACCCAGAGCAGAGUGCACCUUUGGGAUCUCUCAGCUGUGGUGUGAAGCGGGACACACAUAGACAAGGCUCCAUUCGUUCUGGGCAGCUUUCCCGAGCCUCGGGGACCCGCUCACCAUGGAUCCUAAGCUUCUGCUGUUCCCUGCUGCCUGCCUGUGAGUAAUAAAGUUGCUUUCAUAAC
rnacentral:lncRNA from 1 species